rnacentral:tRNA from 1 species
GGCAGUGUGGCUCAAUGGAAAGAGCACAGGCUUGGGAAUCAGAGGUCAUGGGUUUGAUCCCGGCUCUGCCA